rnacentral:rRNA from 1 species
UAGGGAAUCUUCGGCAAUGGGGGCAACCCUGACCGAGCAACGCCGCGUGAGUGAAGAAGGUUUUCGGAUCGUAAAGCUCUGUUGUAAGAGAAGAACGUGUGUGAGAGUGGAAAGUUCACACAGUGACGGUAACUUACCAGAAAGGGACGGCUAACUACGUGCCAGCAGCCGCGGUAAUACGUAGGUCCCGAGCGUUGUCCGGAUUUAUUGGGCGUAAAGCGAGCGCAGGCGGUUUAAUAAGUCUGAAGUUAAAGGCAGUGGCUUAACCAUUGUUCGCUUUGGAAACUGUUAAACUUGAGUGCAGAAUGGGAGAGUGGAAUUCCAUGUGUAGCGGUGAAAUGCGUAGAUAUAUGGAGGAACACCGGUGGCGAAAGCGGCUCUCUGGUCUGUAACUGACGCUGAGGCUCGAAAGCGUGGGGAGCAAACAGG